AUUGAACGCUGGCGGCAGGCCUAACACAUGCAAGUCGAGCGGAUGAAGGUAGCUUGCUACCUGAUUCAGCGGCGGACGGGUGAGUAAUGCCUAGGAAUCUACCUGGUAGUGGGGGACAACGUUUCGAAAGGAACGCUAAUACCGCAUACGUCCUACGGGAGAAAGUGGGGGAUCUUCGGACCUCACGCUAUCAGAUGAGCCUAGGUACGAUUAGCUAGUUGGUGAGGUAAAGGCUCACCAAGGCGACGAUCGUUAACUGGUCUGAGAGGAUGAUCAGUCACACUGGAACUGAGACACGGUCCAGACUCCUACGGGGGGCAGCAGGGGGGAAUAUUGGACAAUGGGCGAAAGCCUGAUCCAGCCAUGCCGCGUGUGUGAAGAAGGUCUUCGGAUUGUAAAGCACUUUAAGUUGGGAGGAAGGGCAGUAAGUUAAUACCUUGCUGUUUUGACGUUACCGACAGAAUAAGCACCGGCUAACUUCGUGCCAGCCGCCGCCGUAAAAC
rnacentral:rRNA from 1 species